rnacentral:rRNA from 1 species
UAUGGAGGGUGCACGCAUUCAUCGGAUUUAUUGGGCGUAAAGGGCGCGUAGGCGGGUAGGUAAGUCAGAUGUGAAAUCCCGGGGCUCAACCCCGGAACAGCAUAUGAAACUACCGAUCUAGAGGGUAGGCGGAGAAAAUAGAAUUCCUCAAGUAGCGGUGAAAUGCGUAGAUAUGUGGAAGAAUACCGGUGGCGAAGGCGACUCACUGGCCCGGUACUGACGCUCAUGUGAGAAAGCGUGGGGAGCAAACAGG